rnacentral:tRNA from 1 species
AGUUAAUUAGUUUAUUUCUUAAAACAUUAGAUUGCAAAUCUAAAAAAAAAUUAACUU